rnacentral:sRNA from 1 species
GAACUGCGCAUGCGUUAAGUCAAGAUAAGACGAAGGUUUUUCUAUUUCUUUUGGGGACAGCCUAUCUCUAUAGGAAAGUGUUCUACAAAUCUGGCCAAUGGGAUAGACGGAUUUCGGGGCUUUUGCGCCCCACAUAUCUUACAACCCACUCGGCCCGGCAAGUGGGUGUCAAUUACGGACUUCGGAAUCCGGAGACCGGAGACCCAGAGACCCUCAGACCCCAGGGCCCCAUUCGAUUCGAUUCCGAGUUGCGUGGGCCGAUCUCACAUUAGUCACAUCGAAGGAAUGAAAUACAAAUACAAAAAAAAAACAUGACGGCCGAGAAGAACUUAUCCAUCUUCAAAGCUCUCAGAAAAUACAAAAAGAAAAUACUUUUGACUCUUCGUCUUUCACAUUUCGAAAUCACAAAAUGUCUGCCAUAAAUUCCAAAGUGAACAAUUGAAAUAAAUUUUUGCGCCAUGAGCACGCCGACUGCAUACAAAUGAACUAUUAAAAAAUUCAUAGAAUUUAUACAUGGACAUAUAAACAAACAGACAGCCAAGUAAACGUAUGCAAAGAGGCGCCCACUUUGGCCGCUCAUGGCAAAAUCCAAAAUCCAAAGCCAAAGCCGAAGCAAAAUAAACUUAAAUUGAAAUUUAUGAUUUUUAAUGACCUGUUGACGGGCGUUUGCGUUUGCGUUUGCUUUUGCCAUUGCGAUUGCGUCUCUGAUUGUGCGAGGUCCGCAUUCUAUUUGCGUCCACUGUAAUUGCCAAAAAAUUCGAAAGCUAAAUGGCAGAUACUAAUUCACAGAAUUAUUCCAAAUGCAUAAUUUAUAAGGGGCACAGUUGACUGACGAUCUCUGCCAGCGAAAUUAUAUGUAUACUCUACUUUAGAACGAUAGAUACUUUCGCACCCGAUAGAUACUCUCAGUUAUCAAGUAGGCCAGUUAUCAAAUUCUAAUUUACCUAUCUAUCAGUACUUUGAAAUUCUUUACUUUCGUUAACGAAGAUUAAACUUUUCCAUCAAGGUGUAUUUAUUGCCUAAUAAAAAGAUUAAAUCAAUACAAAUGAUAACCAAAUUGGUUGGUGAAUCAGAAUCCAAUGAAUGAAGUGUGCUAUUUACAAAAUCACGCCAUCAUGAGAUUUUAAUCAACUCAAUUGGCUAAAACGUGUGACAGCCAUAAAUUUGUGCUCCUUACUGUCAAAAAAAAAAUGUAUAUAUCUUUGUUAAUCCAUUUUGUAACGCUGUGAAAGCAUUUUAAAUUUCGAUUUUCGUGUGGCUUUUGGGAAAUAUGCAAAACGGUAUUCAAUACGUCAACAAAAAUUCUUGUGUACAUGCAGCAAGAGCGACAAACAACUAUGCAGCAAUGUCGUCGUCGCAGUUGCAGUUGCCGUCCCCGUCGCUAGUUGAACGAACGAUCGAAAUGGGCGGGGGGAGGCGGUCGAGGGGGCGUUGGGUUGGCAAGUCGGUGGGUUGGGGCUGGGGUUUGCUGUGAAUGCGAGGGGUGCGCGGAGCGGGGUAAAUGCAUUUUGUGCUUGGAAAUAGGCUGCGGCGAUAGUUGUUGCUGUUGGAAAAUAUUUCAAAGUUGCUGUGAACUCACAACUGCGGCAGCGGCACCAAUUGAAUGCAAUUUGCUUGUGUUUGUGUGUUUGAGUGUGCAUGCAUUUAUUAAAGCAAUGCGCGCAUUGCCUUAAAUGCCAAAGCUACUACGAAUGUAUGUAUCAAAAAAGCAUUGCACGCGUACACUGGAAACAAAAUGUAAAGGAAUCAAGACACGGAUGUAUGCAAAACGUGACUUUAGACUUCACCAACUUAGUUGUUGCGUUUGCAAAUAUUUAUUAAAGUUGUAAUAAAUGUUUAAAGACAGAAAAUAAAUGAUUACCUAAUCCGUUUAGUGCCAAGUUUUUUGUUCUGUGUACGUAUGUAUCUAUGUAAGCUACGCCCUGCUUUUUGUAUUUGGCAAACAUUCCAGGCGCUUGGCAACAUUUUCUGCUGCUGCUGCUGCUGUGCUGUUGCUGUUGCUGCGUUGCUGUUGCAUUUGCUGCCAUGCCGCAGCAACAUGCAGCCCAUAAAAAUGUUCUUAUUUAUGUACAUAUUUUGCCGGGGCAGGCAAUGUAAGUUGCAAGUUGCGAGAGCAGGAGGCAAAGUCAGUUGCUUUGACAUGAAUGUCAGCUUUGCGCAUUUAAGCAGUUUAAUCAACAUUUUUCAACGCUCUCGCGCACUCUGCAGCCGACUUAAAUCGCGCCAUUCCGCUCUUUUGAGCCGGUUUUUGUUGGCCAGGCCAUAUCCCAUGUCCCAUGCCUCAUGUGCAAUGUGCAAUGUGCAUCCUAUGUGCCACCAGUACUUGCAUCAGUAGAUAUAGUAAACUAGAGAUGGGCGUGUGACAAAGAUACACUCGUGUAUGUAUGUUUUACCGCACAGCAACAGCAGCACAAAAUUGGGAUUUUCGACAAAAAACCAAAUGUAUAUGUGUGUAUUAUUUCGCUCACAUUCCUUCGAGCGGCGUCAGAAUGCGAUUGCAUAUCGGUGAGCUCUUUUGCCCUGACCCACAAACCAAUAAAUUCCAGCUGAAGUAUCCCAAGAAUGCGCCGAGUCGAACAAAAAGAAUCGGGCAAACGAGCGAAUGAAUUAUGCGCUGUGGUAAACAUUUUGACAGCGCACGCAGCACACAAAACAACACCAAAAAAAAAAAA